GGGCCUGUAGCCUAGCCAGGAUAGGGCGCGAGGCUUCGGAAGCUCCUUCUUGGAGAUACCUCGUAGUCUGGGGUUCGAAUCCCCACAGGCCCG
rnacentral:tRNA from 1 species